GUGGGAGCAAAGCUUGCUCGCGAUGCAGGCAACUCGGGUUCAAGUGAUACCGAGGUGUUGCUGUCGCGAGCAAGCUUUGCUCCCAC
rnacentral:misc_RNA from 1 species